GACGAACGCUGGCGGCGUGCCUAAUACAUGCAAGUAGAACGCUGAAGCGAGGAGCUUGCUCUUCUUGGAUGAGUUGCGAACGGGUGAGUAACGCGUAGGUAACCUGCCUUGUAGCGGGGGAUAACUAUUGGAAACGAUAGCUAAUACCGCAUAACAAUGGCUGACACAUGUCCUUUAUUUGAAAGGGGCAAUUGCUCCACUACAAGAUGGACCUGCGUUGUAUUAGCUAGUAGGUGAGGUAAUGGCUCACCUAGGCGACGAUACAUAGCCGACCUGAGCGGGUGGUCGGCCACGCUGGGACUGAGACACUGCCCAGACUCCUACGGGAGGCAGCAGUAGGGAAUCUUCGGCAGUGGGGGCAACCCUGACCGAGCAACGCCGCGUGAGUGAAGAAGGUUUUCGGAUCGUAAAGCUCAGUUGUAAGUCAAGAACGGGUGUGAGAGUGGAAAGUUCACACUGUGACGGUAGCUUACCAGAAAGGGACGGCUAACUACGUG
rnacentral:rRNA from 1 species